UACGAAGGGGGCUAGCGUUGCUCGGAAUUACUGGGCGUAAAGCGCACGUAGGCGGAUUGUUAAGUCGGGGGUGAAAUCCUGGAGCUCAACUCCAGAACUGCCUUUGAUACUGAAGAUCUUGAGUUCGGGAGAGGUGAGUGGAACUGCGAGUGUAGAGGUGAAAUUCGUAGAUAUUCGCAAGAACACCAGUGGCGAAGGCGGCUCACUGGCCCGGUACUGACGCUGAGGUGCGAAAGCGUGGGGAGCAAACAGG
rnacentral:rRNA from 1 species